rnacentral:snRNA from 1 species
UUUCGUGUGGUCAAGAUAGAGCGAACUAUUCUUUCUCCUUUUACUAAAGAAUACCAUGUAUUGGCCACCAACAAUGGCAUACACCUAUUUUUGGAGGCUUCCAUCUCAUUGUGAGAA